CUGGCGUCAGUGCUGGGGAGCAGCCCUGGGCGGGCCUCUGCUCUGGCCCCUUCUGGGGCCCGCACUCUCGCCCGGGCCUG
rnacentral:pre_miRNA from 1 species